CACACAAUUCCUUCAAAUCUUAGGCUGCGUUUACACGAACGCGGUUUCAUAUCGAUACGGUUUCACUAUUUCAAAACCGCACCGAAAUU